rnacentral:rRNA from 1 species
AAGUCGUAACAAGGUUUCCGUAGGUGAGCCUGCGGAAGGAUCAUUAAAUACAGUAGAUUUCUACUGAUCGGGGGGGUGGAAAGUCCCAGUUUGAUUACUGGAUCACGAGUAAGCCCCCUGUCUGCACCCUUGUCUUUUGCGUACUCAUGUUUCCUCGGUGGGCUUGCCUGCCGAAUGGACAAUUCUAAAACCUUUUUAAUUUUCAAUCAGCGUCUGAACAAUUAUAAUAAUUACAACUUUCAACAACGGAUCUCUUGGUUCUGGCAUCGAUGAAGAACGCAGCGAAAUGCGAUAAGUAGUGUGAAUUGCAGAAUUCAGUGAAUCAUCGAAUCUUUGAACACACAUUGCGCCCCUUGGUAUUCCAUGGGGCAUGCCUGUUCGAGCGUCAUUAUAACCACUCAAGCAUUCGCUUGGUAUUGGGGCUCGCGGUCGCGCGGCCCCUAAAAUCAGUGGCGGUGCCGGCUGGCUCUACGCGUAGUAAUACUCCUCGCGUCUGGGUCCGGUCGGUUGCCUGCCAGCAACCCCCCAUUUUUACAGGUUGACCUCGGAUCAGGUAGGGAUACCCGCUGAACUUAA